AGUCACUGACAUUAGAUACCCGUGUAGUCCCGGGUGUAAACGCUGCGGGCUUGGUGUUGGGGGUCCUUUGAGGGCGCCCAGUGCCGGAGAGAAGUUGUUAAGCCUGCUGCUUGGGAGUACGUCCGCAAGGAUGAAACUUAAGGGAAUUGGCGGGGGAGCACAACAACGGGUGGAGCUUGCGGUUUAAUUGGAUUCAACGCCGAAAUCUUACCGGGACCGACAGCAACAUGAAGGCCAAGCUGAAGACUUUUGCCGGAUUAGCUG
rnacentral:rRNA from 1 species